AAAGGGCCAGGCCGCCCUGCGUGCUGGCUGGGGGCGCGGACGCGCGCCGUCUCGAUGCAGCUGCCCUCGGGAGAGCCUCGGGGUCCCCGGACCGACCCGGCUGGUGACGUGGGAGCGUUUGGACCGCUCGAUCCCACCCUCCCGCGCGAAGUCCCUCUCUGCCCUUCUUUGCUGGGAAGUUCGUCCGGGAGUCUAACCCGGGUGUCCUCCCGCUGCUCUGCAUGGGCGGGGCCAGGGUAGGCGUGAGGUCGCUGAGCAGAGCGCGCCGCCCCCCGACCCACCUGCUCCCCUGAGCCAGGCGACUCUGAUGGACCCGUACCCCAGCCGCGCUCAUCUCCCGCCCCCUGUGACUCCGGCUGCUCCGACUUGGGGGUGAGUCUGGGGUCUGUAGCUGCUCCGGCCUCCCACGCGUUUUGCUCUGAGUCUCCCGAACCUACCUGGGGGCCUCUGGCUGCAGAACCUCCGAGCAACCGCCGCAACGACGGAAGCCUUUCAGAUGACCUACCUGGAACAGCCGGGUGGGGGCCAGAGGCCCAGGCCCGGCCGAGGGGCCCUCCGCGCAGCCUCGGCGCUGGGAAGAUGCAGCUCGGCUUGCGGAACGCUGCUCUGGCACCGGCUCCGUGGGGGCAGGGGGCUGGCUGUGCUGGCAGGAGGCUGCGAAGGAACGCUGCCAGGCCGAGCGACAGCAGGGCGGGACUACGGACUACCACCGUGGUCUCUCCUUCGGACGCCCCGCACCCCUACCCACUGUUCAGCCUAGUCACUCUCCCAACACUGCUCCAGCCGGGCCAUUCCACUCCAGCCAUAGCAGUCUCCUUGGGUGUGCGCCUUCCUCAUGGUGUGCUGUAGCUCUUUCUCUGGAGCCAAGCAGGUGUCAUCAAAUAGUCGAAGGUCUGUCCCCUCAGAAUGCAAGGAUCUCUCACUGGACAUGGGCUGACUACCCCUGAGCAAGGAAGCUGAGUAGGUGAAGAAAGGUAGGGACAGUGAGGAGAGCCCCUUCCUUCACAUGCGCAGGGCAUGCCCCUACCUGGGUUCCCGAAUCUGAGGCUCUAGGCUGAAGCUGUGAACCUGUCAAUUACCGAUGAUGUCUCCUACACUUCCCAAAACCCAAGUUUCUCGUCUGACCCAGUUGAUUGCUGCACUGACCUGGGAGGUGGGAAGGGCAGGGCUGUCUACCUACUGGGUGGACAAGGAGAGUCCCGCAGAGAGAGAAAACAUGUAGACGCUGUGCUGGGAGGUUGGAAGAAGCUGGUACUGGCCUUGGCUAAGGUAAAGGAGUGACACCCCUACCCCACCCCCUGCUGUCUCAUUUGGGUUCUCUGAACUCCGACUGAGGGCAAGAGGGCACACUGGGCUUGUCACUGGCAACAGCUGCAAAAGCCAGAAGCCCCGUUGUGUUCAUGGCUGCAGAACUGAGUGGUCUGGACAUGGGGUACAGCCAACUGGAGGGACAAGAUGGGAGCAGAGGAAGGAUUCUAGGCCACAACCUCAAGUUCUGUUGGUUGGUUUAGGGGCCAGAGCACUCAUUACCAUGAUAGAGGUGGGUGCUUUAGACCCCUAAAGCUGAGUGACUCCAGGCCAAACUUCACUUUGGAGAACAAGGAGACAACCCCAGACUGCUUGGGGUUCCUGCACUUGGCUGGGGAAACUACGCUCACCAGGUAACAGAAAUGCAAGUUAGGCAGUCCAAAAAGUGGGUGGUGCAGGCUGGAAGGGGAGGGUGUACAGUACGUGGCCUCCAUCUCCCUCAGUUUUGGCUGCUGAGUCCAGCACUAAUGGGCCACAGCUGCACAAGGGUGGGAGCCUAAUGCAAACCAGCAGGUUCCCUUUCCCACACCAAGUCCAGGGCCUUACAGGAGAGCCUCCCUGUUAACUUCCAAAAGGCUCCCAGAGACCCUAGUCCUCCACAACCUUGGGCCGUGGUACUUCUUGCGGAAGCCCCCAUCCCUUUAACUCAGAUGUGACCAGCAGCAGUGUCAAGGCCUACGUCCAUCACUGCUGUGCAGAGACCAUCGGGUCCUACAUGUCUGCCCAGUAGUGGGGGUUCUAGAGGUCUUCUGAGCCCUAAGUGUUUCCAGACAUAGUCUUCAGGGAGGCAGACUCCUCUUAAAGUUAGGGCAGAGACAAUGGUCCUCAGAAUCUGCAUGUGGGCAGCAGGGAUCAGGGUUAGGGCUCAGUGGACAUAGGUGUAGUUCUGGCCCUUUUAAAACCCACAUUCUGCCUUGGUAUCUCCCAGGUGCCUCAGCCUCAGGAGUUUGGUCUUACUGCUUGUAUGAGGUUUGGUAUUGAAGAAGACAACACCGGGCUGCUGUAAACCACAGGGAGGAAGCAGCUAUGGCAAGAGGCCCAGGCCUCAGAAUGCAGCCUGUGCUGUGGUGUACUGAUUCCUGAAUGCAGAGCUCUAACUCCUCCCUCGAGGUGCCCGAGAGACUACAGCAACCAGUAAUCUGUCUCAGCUAGACAUUCUGACCUGUCUUUUUAACAAGUUAUGGGUAUUUUGCCUGUGCCACCACGCCCGGCUUUUAAUUAAUUAAUUAAUUAAUAUUUUUUUUUUUUUUUUUUUUUUUUUGGUUUUUCGAGACAGGGUUUCUCUGUAUAGCCCUGGCUGUCCUGCCACCACACCACAAGAGUAAAGAGUCUUACUAUGCAGUUCUGUCUGGCCUUGAACUCAAGAGAUCCACCCUCUUCUGCUGGGGUUAAAGAUGUGCACUACCCUACCACACCUGGCAUUUUCUUUAAAUAAAAAAUAAAACACCCACAUUCGACAAUUUUCAGUUUCCCAAGUUGGGGAAACACUGUUUAGCAAACCCAGUUCUCUGCAAACAAGCUAGCAGGUUCACUCUGCUUAGCCAGCAGGUCCUCACCUGUAUGUUCAAAUGUCACAUGGUCUGUCUUAGGAGGUGAGUGAUGAUGGGUGCCACAGUCAGAUGACUUGCAGAGGACAGCGGGAGGAGACCUGGAGUUGCAUCCCACCAGAGGGUAUGUUUCUGCCAGGCUCUCCCAGGUCACUCCUGCACCCCAGUAACCUGCCAAUGGACAAGUCUCUUCGCUUGGCUGUAUCAGAAACUGACUGGAGUUUGAGCAAAGAAAGACCAAGCAGGCAGGCUCAAACUCAGCAUGUAUUUUCAUUUCUACAAGAUCCUUUUCAAGUUGUAGAGAAAUUUCAUAGAAGUAUAUACAAAUUAGACAUUGCUAGUAUGUACAAAAGUAUUUUCUACAUUUUUGAACAAUAUCAACUAUGCCACUUGCAGUAAACAGGAUGUUACAAAAUCAUCCAAUAAAGAAAGCAUUUUCUAUUAAGCAC
rnacentral:lncRNA from 1 species